GCCUCCGUGGUUUAAUGGUAAAAUGCGGGCUUCCCAUGCCUGAGCUUCGGGUUCGAUUCCCGGCGGUCGCA